GGUAGCGUGGCUGAGCGGUCCAAGGCGCCUGAUUACGGCUUAGGAGGCGUGAGUUCGAAUCCCACCGCUGCCA